rnacentral:misc_RNA from 1 species
AAGUCGUAACAAGGUCUCCGUAGGUGAACCUGCGGAGGGAUCAUUACUGAGUGCGGGGGUUAGUUGUUCCCCCGACCUCCAACCCUUUGUGAACAUAUCUUGUUGCUUCGGGGGCGACCCUGCCAUUCGUGGCAUUCCCCCCGGAGGUCAUCAAAACACUGCAUUCUUACGUCGGAGUAUAAAGUUAAUUUAAUAAAACUUUCAACAACGGAUCUCUUGGUUCUG